AGCGAACGCUGGCGGCAGGCCUAAUACAUGCAAGUCGAGCGCACCUUCGGGUGAGCGGCGGGCGGGUGAGUAACGCGUGGGAACGUGCCCUUUGGUACGGGAUAACUGAGGGAAACUUCAGCUAAUACCGUAUGUGCCCUACGGGGGAAAGAUUUAUCGCCAUUGGAGCGGCCCGCGUUGGAUUAGGUAGUUGGUGAGGUAAAGGCUCACCAAGCCUACGAUCCAUAGCUGGUCUGAGAGGAUGAUCAGCCACACUGGGACUGAGACACGGCCCAGACUCCUACGGGAGGCAGCAGUAGGGAAUCUUGCGCAAUGGGCGAAAGCCUGACGCAGCCAUGCCGCGUGAAUGAUGAAGGUCUUAGGAUUGUAAAAUUCUUUCACCGGGGAAGAUAAUGACGGUACCCGGAGAAGAAGCCCCGGCUAACUUCGUGCCAGCCGCCGCCGUAAGAC
rnacentral:rRNA from 1 species